rnacentral:rRNA from 1 species
GAUCAUGGCUCAGGAUGAACGCUAGCUACAGGCUUAACACAUGCAAGUCGAGGGGCAGCAUUGGGGUAGCAAUACUCAGAUGGCGACCGGCGCACGGGUGAGUAACACGUAUCCAACCUGCCGCUUACUCGGGGAUAGCCUUUCGAAAGAAAGAUUAAUACCCGAUGGUAUAAAGAGUUCGCAUGUUCUCUUUAUUAAAGAAUUUCGGUAAGCGAUGGGGAUGCGUUCCAUUAGAUAGUUGGCGGGGUAACGGCCCACCAAGUCUACGAUGGAUAGGGGUUCUGAGAGGAAGGUCCCCCACAUUGGAACUGAGACACGGUCCAAACUCCUACGGGAGGCAGCAGUGAGGAAUAUUGGUCAAUGGACGAGAGUCUGAACCAGCCAAAAGUAGCGUGAAGGAUGACUGCCCUAUGGGUUGUAAACUUCUUUUAUAAGGGAAUAAAGUGAGGGACGUGUCCCUUUUUGUAUGUACCUUAUGAAUAAGGAUCGGCUAACUCCGUGCCAGCCGCGGC